AGGGAACCUUGAAGUGGAAGAUGUAUCUGUUGCUCUCUCUGUUCGUCGUGUUUCACCAUGUGAAAUCACAGACUAUCGAGCAGAACCCCGCCGCCGUCUCCAAAUUUCCUGGAGAGGGAGUGAAACUGGAGUGUAUUGUGGAGGGCAGCAGCAGUAGUACUCCCAACUUGUACUGGUACAAACAGUCCCCGGGAAAAGAGCUUCAGCUGAUGUUUUACUCCAAUACAGCACAGUACGUGACUCCACGGGAGCCGGUGGACGGUUUCACCGCUGACAGACCGAGUAACACCAAGUUCAGCCUGAAGUCCUCCAACCUCCAAGCGAAUCACUCAGCCGUGUAUUACUGCGCCUGGAGUCUUCACAGUGACUUAGCGAGAGGGAGCAGCUCAACAAAAACCCCAAACGUCUCCUUCUCGCUAACAAUUGCCCUGUUUACUGACCUUAUCCCUUUCUCAGACGUGAAGACAGCGAGAGUUGAUUAG